UUGGACGUUAACUCUAACAAUUGGUCAACUUUAUGGGGUAAAAUUGUCAUUUGAAGACAAAAAAAUUCGCAACAAAAAAAAUCCAUCUUCUUCUUCCUUCAAUCCCACUUCGGGUCUCUCUCUCCUCUCUCUAACAUUUUCUGAUCUCGAUUCCCAUUUCACCUCCCUCUAAACGUACUCCCUCACCCAGAAACUCCAGACCCUAGAGUCCUAAUCCCCAAACCCUUCUUACUCUACCUCAAUCCCACAAACCCAAAAACCGCAAGACCCAUCUCUUUUCUCUAAUCGAGCCCGAUCCGUUUUGUGUCUCGUGGCAUGCGAGCUUUUUGGAGGGUCUGAAUAUGUCUCCAUCACCAUGCCGAUGUGGGUUCUAACAAGAAGCACAUUCACAACCUCUCUCCAGUUUCUGCCAGCAGGUACGCUGGGUUUGCUCCGAAUUGACUGAAUUCUCACCGGAAAUGGGGUUUGUUGUAACACUUGAAGUUUAAUUACUUUGAGGUUCAGACUUAUCUACUCACAAUUUCGCGACGGUUUUACCUGGAGAUUCAGUGGCCGAACUUGUUGUUGCAAAUGGUGCCUUCAACUUAUUGAACUUAUACGAAACUUUAUUGGUCUGGAGGCUUGUGUUAGCCGGUGGACCUUUGCGUACCCAAUCCGUAUCGACCAAGCUCUCUUUUGUCUCAACAAGUGUGAAUUCCCUCUCAAGAUCCAGCUCAUCGUCUUCCUCGAAGAGUUCUCCGGCUCGCACUUCACAUCCGACCUAGAUUCUCUUCUUGUUCUUCAUUUUGUGUUCUUAGUUUUUUGUUUUCCUCAUUUGCUAUGUCUAAUUUAGUGUUCUGUAGCCACCAGGUAUGAAGGAAGUGGUGGUUUUUUGAGAUGAAUUUGAUUCUGUGAUGGUUUUGAAGAAAUGGUUUCUAGUGGCUGAUUUGGUUUUGUAAAACGAGUUUAAUUUUGUGAUCGGUUUCAAAAGGAGGGGAGAGUGAUUAUUGUGUGUUUUGCAACUUUUUCCCUUUACUUACUAGUUCAGGUAUCAAGGAAGAAGAUACGGGCUAAAAAUGUAAUUUAACUCCUCAGGUGGAUCCAAAACGUGAAAGUUAAUAACGUCCAUGUCAGCAGUUAACGUCCAAUUUGGACGGUUUGGAGUUUUGGACAAGGCUGACUGAAAUUGAAAAGCUCGGGGGUGUUUCUGAUUAAAUUGAUACCACAGGGACUAACAUGAAGUUACCCCCAAACCUCAGGGGGUAAACUGAAUUUAAUCCAAUAUGUAAUACAAGAAAACGGAUAUUUCU
rnacentral:lncRNA from 1 species